GAUGAACGCUAGCUACAGGCUUAACACAUGCAAGUCGCGGGGCAGCAUGGGGGUUGCUUGCACUCCCCGAUGGCGACCGGCGCACGGGUGAGUAACGCGUAGCCAACCUGCCCUUCACCACGGGAUAACCCGGCGAAAGUCGGACUAAAACCGUAUGUUCUUCAUUGACGGCGCCCGAUAUGGACGAAACGUGUGGGGUUGAAUGAUGGGGAUGCGUUUGAUUUGCUGGGCGGGGUGGUGACGGCCCACCGUGGCGACGCGUGGUAGGGGUUCUGAGAGGAAGGUCCCCCGGACUGGAACUGAGGCACGGACCAGACUCCUACGGGAGGCAGCAGUGAGGAAUAUUAGUCAAUGGACGUAAGCCUGAACCAGCCGAGUAGCGUGCAGAAUGACGGCCCUAGGGGUUGUAAACUGCUUUUAUGGGAGGAUAAAGUGGCAAACGUGUGGGUUUUUGAAGGUACCGAAUGAAUAAGGACCGGCUAAUUCCGUG
rnacentral:rRNA from 1 species